GACAGAGGGUGCGAACGUUGUUCGGAGUUACUGGGCGUAAAGCGCAUGUAGGCGGCAGCGCAAGUCGGGCGUGAAAUCCCACGGCUCAACCGUGGAAGUGCGCUCGAAACUGCGCAGCUAGAGUCCUGGAGAGGAAGGUGGAAUGCUUGGUGUAGAGGUGAAAUUCGUAGAUAUCAAGCGGAACACCGGUGGCGAAGGCGGCCUUCUGGACAGUGACUGACGCUGAGAUGCGAAAGCGUGGGGAGCAAACAGG
rnacentral:rRNA from 1 species